rnacentral:rRNA from 1 species
GAUGAACGCUAGCGGCAGGCCUAAUACAUGCAAGUCGAGGGGUAGAGGAAGCUUGCUUUCUUGAGACCGGCGCACGGGUGCGUAACGCGUAUGCAACCUACCUUUAUCAGGGGGAUAGCCCGGAGAAAUCCGGAUUAACACCGCAUAAAAUCACAGAACAGCAUUGUUUCAAGAUCAAAUAUUUAUAGGAUAAAGAUGGGCAUGCGUGCCAUUAGCUAGUUGGCGGGGUAACGGCCCACCAAGGCGACGAUGGCUAGGGGCUCUGAGAGGAGAAUCCCCCACACUGGUACUGAGACACGGACCAGACUCCUACGGGAGGCAGCAGUAAGGAAUAUUGGUCAAUGGGGGCAACCCUGAACCAGCCAUGCCGCGUGCAGGAAGACUGCCCUAUGGGUUGUAAACUGCUUUUGUACGGGAAUAACCACUGGUAUGUAUACCAGCCUGAAUGUACCGUAAGAAUAAGGAUCGGCUAACUCCGUGCCAGCAGCAGCCGCGGUAA